rnacentral:rRNA from 1 species
CCUACGGGGCGCACCAGUGGGGAAUAUUGCACAAUGGGCGCAAGCCUGAUGCAGCCGUGCCGCGUGUAUGAAGAAGGCCUUCGGGUUGUAAAGUACUUUCAGCGGGGAGGAAGGUGUUGAGGUUAAUAACCUCAGCAAUUGACGUCACCCGCAGAAGAAGCACCGGCUAACUCCGUGCCAGCAGCCGCGGUAAUACGGAGGGUGCAAGCGUUAAUCGGAAUUACUGGGCGUAAAGCGCACGCAGGCGGUCUGUCGAGUCGGAUGUGAAAUCCCCGGGCUCAACCUGGGAACUGCAUUCGAAACUGGCAGGCUAGAGUCUUGUAGAGGGGGGUAGAAUUCCAGGUGUAGCGGUGAAAUGCGUAGAGAUCUGGAGGAAUACCGGUGGCGAAGGCGGCCCCCUGGACAAAGACUGACGCUCAGGUGCGAAAGCGUGGGGAGCAAACAGGAUUAGAUACCCUCGUAGUC